rnacentral:lncRNA from 1 species
UUGAUUGAUUCAGUACAUAUUGCUAUAUAGACAUUCCUUAUUUAACGACCAAGUCACCGUUCUGUGGCUAGAUCAUUGAUUGAAUUGGUUGCUAAAUGAGGAAUUAUAUAGUACGUACAUUACAAUAUUCAUAACAAAGAAAUAGUCAAAGGAAACUCCAACUUGAUGACUUUGCUUUAAUUUGCAUAACUUACUUGCAGUACUAUAAUGUAUAACAACAAAACUCUAAUACUAUUACAGUGCGAUCAGCAAAAUUUACAGUAGUAAUGUAUAAAGAAGGUAUAGUGUACAAAAAAGACAUUGAGGCUCUAUAAAUAAAGAUGUACAGAACUGUACAAAAAAGACGGGUUGUAAGUCUGAACAAUCGUUAAACAGGUAGGUUGUUAAAUGAGGAAUACUGUAUUGCUUCUUCAAAGGCAAUUUCAAAUUUGUAUUCCCUCUGUGUGUUUGUCUUUCAUGUGUUAUUAUAUACAAGCCAGUAUAACUCUCUUUCCUACAAAAAAAGGAUUUUGUCCCUUGUGAAUCUUCUUGGAUUAUCAUAUGUGGAGAUAAGUCCAAGUGUUUAGUAGGUGUGUUGGAAGAAGUAGUAAUAAAAAUGUAAUGAAACUGUUUUUGAAAAUACUGAUCAACCUUAUUCUGACUUCUGUGUUCUAGCUUCCUCCCGAUUAGGAAGGGCACUUGCUGAGCUAUUUGGACUCCUUGUUAAACUUUGUGUGGGGUCUCCUGUUCGCCAGAGAAGGAGCCACCAUGCUGCCAGCACCACUACAGCACCAACACCUGCCGCUCGAUCAACAGCCUCAGCCCUCACUAAGCUCCUCACAAAGGGCUUAUCUUGGCAGCCCCCACCAUAUACACCUACUCCCCGCUUCAGGCUGACAUUCUUCAUCUGUUCAGUUGGUUUCACAUCUCCAAUGCUGUUUGAUGAAAGGAAGUAUCCCUACCACCUCAUGCUGCAGAAAUUUCUCUGCUCUGGAGGCCACAAUGCACUUUUUGAGUAAGGAUCGUUCCUUCACAGAGAAUUUCUUGGAGUUUUGUCUUCACUAUGUACCUUACCAGCCCACAACUUUCUAAAUUACCUAUCUUGUGACAGUGGGAUAUAGAGAGAUUGCCAUUGAUUGGAUCCUUUCAUAUUCUGGGAACCAGCCAUGUGUCUCCAUAUUCUUAGAAGGUGAUAUU